AUACAACUCCCAAACCCACUGUGAACCUUACCUCAGUUGCCUCGGCGGGAACGCCCCGGCCGCCUGCCCCCGCGCCGGCGCCGGACCCAGGCGCCCGCCGCAGGGACCCCAAACUCUCUUGCAUUACGCCCAGCGGGCGGAAUUUCUUCUCUGAGUUGCACAAGCAAAAACAAAUGAAUCAAAACUUUCAACAACGGAUCUCUUGGUUCUGGCAUCGAUGAAGAACGCAGCGAAAUGCGAUAAGUAAUGUGAAUUGCAGAAUUCAGUGAAUCAUCGAAUCUUUGAACGCACAUUGCGCCCGCCAGCAUUCUGGCGGGCAUGCCUGUUCGAGCGUCAUUUCAACCCUCGAGCCCCCCCCGGGGGCCUCGGUGUUGGGGGACGGCACACCAGCCGCCCCCGAAAUGCAGUGGCGACCCCGCCGCAGCCUCCCCUGCGUAGUAGCACACACCUCGCACCGGAGCGCGGAGGCGGUCACGCCGUAAAACGCCCAACUUUCUUAGAGUUGACCUCGGAUCAGGUAGGAAUACCCGCUGAACUUAAGCAUAUCAAUAA
rnacentral:rRNA from 1 species